GUGAGGUGAUGACGAAGUUUAUCCAUUCUCUGAGUGCAGUGGUGCUGUCCUCCUGCAACACCCAGAUUCCUGUUCUAGGGUCUGGGUGCUGUGCAGCCUCCAGAGACUCUUCCAGUCUCCCAGUGUCCUACCGGGGGCUGCUGUGGUCUGUGGCUGGCUGCCUGCAGGAGUGACGUGGUGCCUGCAGGGUUGGAGACCCUCUCUGGGGGGCCUCCAUCCUGGCUGAGAUGAGGGAUGAUGUCUGAUCAC